rnacentral:ncRNA from 1 species
AUCCAACAUCAAGAGUGACUCAGCAAUGAGUACAGCAACCGAGCCAGCCAGGCCGCGGUGCUUCCCGCCAGGGGAUGUGAUGCACGAAAGUGUAUAAAAACUUCUGGCCCUC